CUUUGAACAACCUGUAAGAUUUCACAAAUACUAUACCUGUGGAUAUUGCUUCUAAAACAUAGGAGAAUGGUUGUAGUUGGAGUAGUACCAAGUGACCAAGCCAAAAUCAGCACCUAGGGCCUUAAGCAGAGCUACCCCACAGAAUGAGAUCCUGGGGAGGGCAGGAAGGGAGACUUGAAAAGUAUCCUGCUCCCAGGGUGCAAGGUGCAGUGGCUGUUGCUGUGCUACGUGUGUCCUUGCGUUAGUUGUUUUCCUAACUUGAGAGUUUACAUGGAAGGCAUUUCUGAUGGCUUAAAGGGAGGUGUUGGGAUGCCCUAACUUGGGAACUUCUGACCUGGACCCUCUUGUUGUGACUUGAGGAGAUACUGAUUCACCUUGCUCUGGCAGCUCUCCGUGGCCUGGAAGAGAUGACACACUGCACAAGGUGAGUCAGCCCUGCCUCUUCUCAGGCUCAGGUCCGGUCUCUCCUUUUCGGACUCUAAGGUCUGAUGAGGACAGUGAGGAAUAGCUGUGAAACUUAGUAUUCAGUUGGUUCCAUUUUUAAUGUAUAUGAUUUUUAAGCACCCAAACUUAAAAGUAUCUAUCAGAUAAUACUGCAUGUUUUAAAAACAUUUUUCCUCUUUCACUACCCAGGACCAACACUGUUCUAAGACAUUAUUUAUAUAUGAGGAUGAUAAUAUGCAUAUUCUGAUGUAGAAUUUAAGGACAGCUUUUGAAGCAGGGAAGACAGCUGAUGAGGGUGGAGUGAAUGGGAUGGGCUGGUGGUAAACUAGAUUUGUUUAGUUGUGUAGUUGCACAUUGUGCACUCUUGCUGAGGGUCUGUUUCUGUCUGUACCAUCACUCCGGAUUUGCAUUGUGGAACACCUGUAUAAAGCCAUUAUAGGAAGAAGUGAUCCUCAUGCCUGGUUUUUCCAUUACUUGUUUUUGGGAGCAUUCUUUGAAAAUAUGCUCAGCCAAAUGUUCCAUGAACUUUUGUUUUAAAGAAAAAUAGGUGUGAACGGUGAUAGCAUUGUAGCUAGCUCAGUAGGCUGUCUUCUGUUGCAGCCAUGUCUGUCAUUUGAUGUUUGUUAUUGGUAGAAUCAUGCUUUGAAUUGUAACUCUUCCUUGAUAGUGUUAGUGAUUUCCCCAGAACCUGUCACUUGUGUUAAUUGUCACAUAAGUUUGGAUGAGCCAGGAGUGCAGGAGCGUGCCUUUCACUUCUUUAUGCAGUUAGGAAUUGAAACUUUACACUUCAGUGACUGACCUCAAUGUGGGCAGCAAACCUAUCCUCUUGUUGAAGAAAGGGCAGCUGACUCUGACACUCUGGCUUUUUGUAGUCCACUCUUGCUUGCUCUCACCUGGAGGUUCUUCACUGUGGGAACUUUAAACAUGCAAACCAAAAAGUGGCCCAUCUGCCAAGCUUUGGUUUUGCUAGUUUCUGAGAGGGGUUUUGACCUCAUACUAAUAGUUACUAAAUAGUGAUUGUGAGGACUUAGGCAUGACAACAUUGUUUGACAUAAAGUAUGGUUAGGAAGUAACACCUCUCUAAAGGCAACACUGUUUGAGACAAACAUUUCUGAAAAGUCCCAGAGAGGAGUUCUUGUAAUUGAGGCAUCAAGUUAAAAUGAGGUCGCUUUGGAUAAUUCGAGCAGCAGAAUGUCCUUGUUCUUGGACUAUGGAAGGCAAAGGACUUGUGCUGUCUGUACUCUGCUUGUUGAGAAGCAGCCAGUGGCUGAACCUGAGUAGGUGGGUUAAAGUAUCUGUGCCUCAUGACACAGACGGUUGUAAAAAUCUGAAGUGUAUUUUAUCAGCUACCUGGAUGUCAGUGCACACAGACGUGCACUCUUCUCAUGACUGCAACAGUGAUCGGGAAGAGGAAAACCCUCAACUCUGCCUUUGGCUCUGUGAACUAAUUUCAGUUCAGAUUCUAAGCUGUGCUCACUCCCAUUUUGAAAGUGCACAGCUGGAUAUCCUCUGACAGCCCCUCGCUUUGUACAUACACUGAGGGGCUUUCUUUGAAGUUUCUAGCAGACCUGCCAGAGAUGGGCCAGGCGUACAGCAGCCCCUUUCUCAAGCCUGGGAUCUGGGACAAACCCUACAGUGACAAUGCCGAUAUAUUGACUACUACAAAUGUAAAGUAAAUGUGGUCUCUAGUCCUAGGUUUGUAGAGUGUACCCUGUGUUAAUGUGUAGGGAAGGGACAGCCGUUUGAAGGUUUGGGGGAGUGUAUCGUUGAUGUAUCUGCAGGGGCGAAUGCUGCUAAAUUACAGCUUCCCAGCUUUCCUUUAGGGGUGAAUCAUGGGAUGAGUAGCCUCAUCAGAGAUGUGAAGGCGUGAAGAGGCAGGCCUGCUAGGUGAGGACACAGGCAGGCUUCGCACCUCUUUUUCCAUCAGGUAUUGUAAAAUGUGUGCAUGACUUUUGUUGUUGUUGCUCAGUAAUUGGUAGAUGAAGAGAUGAGGGGACCUCUCCCCGCAAGCUUUCCUAACCAGUCUUUUCAGAGGAACAUAGCUGGAGUAAAGUCUGGCCUUCACCUACGGCAGGACCCUGUCCUCUAAUGCUCACCGCACCCUGCAGUCCUCGGGGCAGAGGAGCUACCUAGCUGUAGUCUAGUAAUUCACCGUGGUUUACUGCGAGCCAGUGAUGUCAUCCUAUCGUGCACUCUUGUCAAGCCAUUUAUGUGACUUUAAUAAGCUUAGUAACUUGCUGACCGCACCGGGGCCUAUCAGUGACUUAUAUAUUGCAUGAUGUCGUCUACUUGAGUUUGACAUGUAGAAUCACUUGAUUUCAUGGCAAUUGACAGUCCUAAUGGCUCAGCUAAUUUGAAACUAACAACUUUGCUGUGUAAAAGGAAAAAUGGUGUUGUGUUCAGUAAAUGUUUGAAAAAAAAAGC
rnacentral:lncRNA from 1 species